rnacentral:rRNA from 1 species
GACGUAGGGUGCGAGCGUUGUCCGGAUUUAUUGGGCGUAAAGAGCUCGUAGGCGGCUUGUUGCGUCGACCGUGAAAACCCGUGGCUCAACUGCGGGCUUGCGGUCGAUACGGGCGGGCUAGAGUUCGGUAGGGGAGACUGGAAUUCCUGGUGUAGCGGUGAAAUGCGCAGAUAUCAGGAGGAACACCGGUGGCGAAGGCGGGUCUCUGGGCCGAUACUGACGCUGAGGAGCGAAAGCGUGGGGAGCGAACAGG